GAUGUUGAUUUGGUGUGCCUCUUCUUGGAGAAGUUCAGAGCCUUACAAUAAUAUUACUUUUAUAAGUGUAAGUGAAGAAGAAAGAACAACGCCCCUUUUAGGAGUCUUUUUCUUUGUCUUUAUAGCUAUGCACCCGCCAACUAGCGUUGGAUAGUCGUGAUUGAGUCGAGAGGGCGCCCGCCAGUAAUGAAUAGGCCAUGGCCUUAUUGAGUAUGCUGGACGAUUUUGGAAUGCUCGUCACUAACAAAUAAUCACGCCAUUUGUUAUUCAAAAUACGCUUAAAAAUAAUUAAUCUUAUUAAUUAUGACGGGUCUAAGUUUUGACCCAUAGGUCCAAAAGCCAAACAUACAUGCCAGACAAAGAACUACUGAGAAUAAAAGGUUUCAGACACUUGAAAUGACAUGAUGAACAAUGACCUCAAGAAUCCAUAACCAAUGCCAGAUUCACCCACAAGAUUAAUUUCCUUCACCUAAUCUACUUAAAUUAAACAAUCUCCCUAUAAUUUCUUCUUGAUCUUAUAACUUUCCUAUUUCUCAAAAUUCCCUCCACCUGCUGCCUGUGCUGCUUUCCUUGCUGCCUUUUCUUGAAGUGCCUUUGCAUCCCUGUUGAGAUAUUAAACACAAUAUCCGUGUUAGGAACACGAAUUAAUCGCCCUAAAACACGAGACUUGCUUUGGAGAAAAUUUUGCGGAGGAGGAACCUUUCUCGUCUUUGUUCAGGGCUCAAUAUAUCAUUCUUAGGUUGCUUGGACUUGUGAUUUGCCCUGGCUUGAGCCCUUUCACGAUCUCUAUCUCUUUGGUUCCCCCGUUAGCUUAAGUUAAGGUCAAAACAGGUAGGGAUCGAAUUAAAGUACGGCAACGUUGAACCAGAAAGGGGAAAAAAUCUAGUCUUUGACCCCAAAGCUGAAGGUAAGAUGACGAGCUUAUGAAAUCGAAAAUUUAAACUUGAUGGAUCCAGCCUUUAAAUUUCUUAGCACCAAAUUCAAUCUACCUUUUAAAUUGUGGAUUUAGAAUUUAAAAUUCACUGAUAUUUUAGUAACUUUUUGUUUGUUAUUCGACAAAAAUAUGCAUGACUGUCAAAAGAAUCAUAUUCAUGGAUAGGCAAAGAAUGGUCAAUUAAUAGUACGAGAGAUUACACUUUAAAAAAGACUCUAUUUUUAGAUACUUUUCCCAAUUUGUAGGCAACCAACCAAAUUAAGGACCAAAUAAGCUUGUACAUGUAUAAGCACCAGUAGAAAAAAUAAGAGCCUAACCUAGAAAAAGUUCUAUCUGCAGAAUCUUAAUUUAUUCUUACCCAAUUCUAGGCAACUAUGAAUUUGAAACAAUAUGAAAGAAUGGGGUAGAUAAUAUUUGCCUAGAAAAGAACCCUGUUUAUGAACAGGAAAAGGAAAAAAAAAACGAAGAGGAUUAGCAUGAAGAAAAUCAAAGAAAAGAAACAUAUCAUAAGGAUAUGAGACAUUCCUGAUUCUCCAACAGCCAAACAAGAUUAAACUGAUAAAUAGCUCUAGACAAGAUCCUGGAACCAAAACAAAAACCCAAAAAAACAAAAAAAGAGGAAUUUUAGAAAGAAAAAAACCAUAAUCGAAUUACACCCAACAUAACACAACAAAAUUGAAAGAGGAGAAAUAAUAAUUUGUGUAAAGGAAAAAGGGAUUUACCUGAUUGAGCUUAGAUUAGAAGUUUUUUGCUAAAGAUCGACCUUGAAAUUUGAGAAUAAGCUUCAAAAAGCAGCAGGACGAUAUUGAGAAGUUGGGUUAUUUGGAAAUGUCAAGAUUUAGGGGAGUAGGUGAUUUAUAGCUAAGAUGCGAAGAAUCGAGAAGCUACGAUUUCUCUUUUUCCUCUUCAAUUUUUAUUACACCGAGCGUAUAAAAUGCGAGGUUAGACGAGUUUUUUGCUUUAGGACGAAAUUGUAUUCGUGAAAAAUAAACUUACUAUUUGGAUUAAUUGAAUCUCCAUAUAUGUCAAGAAUAUUAGAAGGUGGUAAAAAAUUUGAGUCGAGAUAAAUCGAGUUGAGAG
rnacentral:lncRNA from 1 species